CACGGGGUUGCGAGCGUUGUCCGGAAUUACUAGGCGUAAAGAGCGCGCAGGUGGUUGAUAAGUCUGAUGUGAAAGCCCACGGCUUAACCGUGGAGGGUCAUUGGAAACUGGUCGACUUGAGUGCAGAAGAGGGAAGUGGAAUUCCAUGUGUAGCGGUGAAAUGCGUAGAGAUAUGGAGGAACACCAGUGGCGAAGACGGCUUCCUGGUCUGUAACUGACACUGAGGCGCGAAAGCGUGGGGAGCAAACAGGAUUAGAUACCCGGUA
rnacentral:rRNA from 1 species